rnacentral:rRNA from 1 species
GACGAACGCUGGCGGCGUGCUUAACACAUGCAAGUCGACGCGAGACGUGUGUCUUCGGGGUGGUGUUCUAGCGGCGAACGGGUGAGUAACACGUGGGCAACCUGCCCUCAGCUCUGGGAUAACUCCAAGAAAUUGGGGCUAAUACCGGAUAUGACCGCUGACCGCAUGGUCUGGUGGUGGAAAGAUUCAUCGGCUGGGGAUGGGCCCGCGGCCUAUCAGCUUGUUGGUGGGGUAGUGGCCUACCAAGGCGACGACUGUGUAGCCGGCCUGAGAGGGUGACCGGUCACACUGGGACUGAGACACGGCCCAUACUCCUACGGGAGGCAGCAGUGGGGAAUAUUGCGCAAUGGGCGGAAGCCUGACGCAGCGACUCCGCGUGGGGGAUGACGGCCUUCGGGUUGUAAACCUCUUUCAGCAGGGACGAAGCGGAAGUGACGGUACCUGCAGAAGAAGCACCGGCCAACUACGUGCCAGCAGCCGCGGUAAUACGUAGGGUGCAAGCGUUGUCCGUAAUUAUUGGGCGUAAAGAGCUCGUAGGCGGUUUGUUGCGUCGGCUGUGAAAUCCCGAGGCUCAACCUCGGGUCUGCAGUCGAUACGAGCAAACUAGAGUGUUGCAGGGGAGACUGGAAUUCCUGGUCUACCGGUGAAAUGCGCAGAUAUCAGGAGGAACACCGGUGGCGAAGGCGGGUCUCUGGGCAACAACUGACGCUGAGGAGCGAAAGCGUGGGGAGCGAACAGGAUUAGAUACCCUGGUAGUCCACGCCGUAAACGUUGGGCGCUAGGUGUGGGGCUCAUUCCACGAGUUCACGUGCCGCAGCUAACGCAUUAAGCGCCCCGCCUGGGGAGUACGGCCGCAAGGCUGAAACUCAAAGGAAUUGACGGGGGCCCGCACAAGCGGCGGAGCAUGUUGCUUAAUUCGAUGCAACGCGAAGAACCUUACCUAGGCAUUGACAUGCACGGAAAUCUCGCAGAGAUGCGGGGUCCGUAAGGGCCGUGCACAGGUGGUGCAUGGUUGUCGUCAGCUCGUGUCGUGAGAUGUUGGGUUAAGUCCCGCAACGAGCGCAACCCUCGUUCUAUGUUGCCAGCACGUGAUGGUGGGGACUCAUAGGAGACUGCCGGGGUCAACUCGGAGGAAGAUGGGGAUGACGUCAAAUCAUCAUGCCCCCUAUGUCUAGGGCUGCAAACAUGUUACAAUGGCCGGUACAAAGGGCUGCGAUAACCGUAAGGUGGAGCGAAUCCCAAAAAGCCGCUCUCAGUUCGGAUUGGGGUCUGCAACUCGACCCCAUGAAGUUGGAGUCGCUAGUAAUCGCAGAUCAGCAACGCUGCGGUGAUACGUUCCCGGGCUUUGACACACCGCCCGUCACGUCACGAAGGUCGGUAUCGCCCGAAGCCGGUGACACCAACCCUUGUGGAGGGAGCUGUCGAAGGCGG